rnacentral:lncRNA from 13 species
CCCCCAUCCCGUCCCUACAGGGCUCCCAGGCCCGGACCUGCGCUGUGCGUGGCCCUCGCCAAAGCUGUCGUUCGGGCUAUUAAUAUUUGCUAUGAAACAAAGACACCCCAAAUUCAGUGGCUUAAAACAACCCUUUUAAUCUCCCACAUUUCUGAGUCCUUCUGACCCACGUGGUGUCUACUGGGGCUGCUGCUUCUGCGGCUCGGCAGGCUGGCAGGCACCGCACGGGGCUGGCCCUCCACGGGCUGGCCUCCCAGCCAGCAGAGACCUCCUUUUUCUUUGUUUUUGGGAAGUGUACCUGGUCCUCAGGUCUUCUGCAGCUCACAGGGAUUGACAUGAUCCUUCCCCAGGAUUUUUCUGCUGUAGGCAGUGGAAAGACUGUCUCUUCCCAUGGGGUCGCCUUCCGGGAAGAUUGUGACUCCAGGCUGCCAGCAGAAUGGCUCACCGGAGCAUGGGCAGGUCCUUUGAAAGGUAUUCCAGAAGAAGUCAUUGUUUUCCAAAGAGGUGACAGCUCCGUGUAUGUUAUUGCCUCUGAAGACCUUCCAGUGGGACAAGAUGUCGAGGUGGAAGACAAUGAUGGUGAUGAUCCUAACCCUGUGUUGGCCUAGGCUAAUGGGUUCCUUGUAAGAACCAGAGAGGGAUAAUGCACGUAAAGAACCCAGUCCUGUGCUGGUCCAUGGCAAGUGCUGAAUUAAUAACAAUGUUAAUUACAACAGAAGCCCACGUGUAUGAUGUCAGGCCCAGAGGAUGAUGUGGAGGAGCAAGAUGAAAAAGUGAGUAGGGCAAGACACGGGUAGGGGCCUAGUUAUCAGGGCAAAGGCCUGAGACAAGGACUGGCUGGAAGUGAGGUUAACCCUGAAUUCCCUCUUGUUUCUUGAGACAGAUCUUGGGAAUUGGGGUCAGGACUGGGUCAUAAUCAGGGCCCUAGAUGCCAGGUCUGGGGGAAACUGGGGUGUGGGACCAGUUGUGGGGCCUGGCAGCACCCAGCUUGUCUCAUACAGGCUGAAGGGACCUCAACCAGCAAGGGUCAGCUCUGAACUGGAUCAGAACGACCUUCUGGCUGGGGCUCAACCAGUCACUUAUUUCUUUCUUCUUUUUUAGUUGGGUGCAUUAUUGGAUGCCCAGUGAGAGCAAGACACCAUUCUUGCAAUUAUCACUGGGGGUGUAUUAAGAGGACAAGACUAUUUACUCCCAGUUUUGAAAGAAGUAUUAACAUUUCUUUCCAAAAAUUGUGGAUGUCUUAAUUUUUCUUUUAAUUUUGUUCAUUAAAAGAAAAUGUAUUUUAUUGGUCUAUUUUGGGGUUUUGUUGGUGGUGCAUAUAGGCAAG